GAUGAAGAACGUAGCGAAAUGCGAUAAGUGAUGUGAAUUGCAGAAUUCAGUGAAUCAUCGAAUCUUUGAACGCACAUUGCGCCCCUUGGUAUUCCGAGGGGCAUGCCUGUUCGAUCGUCAUUAUAACCCUCAAGCUCAGCUUGGUGUUGGGGCCUGCUGCACUGGCAGCCCUUAAAAUCAGUGGCGGCGCCAUCUGGCUCUAAGCGUAGUAAUUCUUCUCGCUAUGGAGUCCUGGUGGAUGCUUGCCAUCAACCCCCAAUUUUUCUAUGGUUGACCUCGGAUCAGGUAGGGAUACCCGCUGAACUUAAGCAUAUCAAUAAGCGGAGGA
rnacentral:misc_RNA from 1 species